AUUGAACGCUGGCGGCAGGCCUAACACAUGCAAGUCGAACGAGUGGUGGACGGGUGAGUAAUGUCUGGGAAACUGCCUGACGGAGGGGGAUAACUACUGGAAACGGUAGCUACUACCGCAUACCAUCGGAUGUGCCCAGAUGGGUUUAGCUAGUAGGUGGGGUAACGGCUCACCUGGGCGAAGAUCCCUAGCUGGUCUGAGAGGAUGACCAGCAACACUGGAACUGAGACACUGUCCAGACCCCUACGGGAGGCAGAAGUGGGGAAUAUUGGAGAAUGGGCGCAAGCCUGAGGCAGCCAUGCCGCGUGUAUGAAGAAGGCUUUCGGGUUGUAAAGUACUUUCAGCGGGGAGGCGUUACCCGCAGAAGAAGCACCGGCUAACUCCGUGCCAGCAGCCGCGGUAAUUG
rnacentral:rRNA from 1 species